UGUGUGUGUGUGUGUGUGUGUGUGUGUGUGUGUGUGUGUGUGUGUGUGUGUGUGUGUGUUCUGACUCACUCCAUCUGUAGUAGGGUUUCCUGCCUGAGAGGCUGAGUUUUGAUUGUUGGUCUGCUGUCUACAUUCAGUCCUAGAGGAAAAAGAAAGUGCUGCUGCAGCUGGUUCCAACCAAUAAACACAGUCAUACCCAGCAGGAGCAGAGGAAGUACUAGGAAGAAAUAUAUCAGCAAACCAACCCUGGUGGCCUUGUCUUUAUCUAAAGGGUUAAGUCAGAGGGGAAAACACUAAAAAACACUGACAAAUACUAAAGCCCAGAAGAAGACAGAUAGAUGUGGCAAGCUGGAUGAACUGUGUGG